UUUAACGUUACUUUUUGUAUUUUUUUUCUUUCUCAAUCACUCUUUUGGUGCAUCGCCUAGAACCGCCGCGCACAGAUGCGCUUUAACGGAAACAUGAGCACAAGCUCAUCUUCGCGGCCAGGAGCCAUACAGCCCCUCAACUAGCGCCGUUUACUAUCUGCAAUGCACGCGAGGGGAGAGGAGUCUGCACAUUGACACGAAUGGCGCACGUACGAAUGGCGCUACUUUAGUUUAUUUUUCAGGGACUGUAAGCGUUUCUAGACUUUGCUGCAAUCGUGCGUUGCAGAUCGCAGUAGGACAAACGCUUUUCUAAAACUUAUAUGGCGCCCGCGGCGCUUGCAAAACUCCCUAUUGAAACGGACAUGUAGUACAUGUUGCAUGAGGUUAGGGAGCAAGAUCCUUACAAAGAACCCACGCGUUGGUUCACGAUAGCGGAAAACCUCUCCCUGGCGCUCGCAAGAGCUAUCAGCUCGCGAGUCAUCAGGGAGAGGUGCGACCUUCUCCUGGCGCAAUUCGUUUGGGAAGACCGCGCCAACCUGAGAAAAUCAGGAACAGAAGAACAAUAUGGGGAAAAGGAACAUCUACAAGACAUUCUUGGGGUAGCCAGAGGACAUGGCUACCGCAUCCGUCCUGGGGCGGCCAGGAGGGUGGCGGGGUGCAACAGGCUUCGCUCUGCCAGGCUCCGUUGCCGGCUGCGUCGUGCGGGCAUAGCCGGCAGCGUCAAGCGAAGGUUCGCGACGGUGGUGCGUGACUCCGCCUGUGCCUCAGAAGACUCCGCGGACGGCGCAGCGACCACCGGCGUGAGAGAGCCGAGUGGGCGACAGGCGCUUUCGAGAGCGUGGAGGUGGUUACCUCGGCUCCUGAAGAGCCCUACGAAGCGCUUGUCCCCCUAACCUCGCUGCACACGGAGCAGCGCAACCCUCCUCAAGCAACAGCUAGCUGCACUGGUCCAGCAGUCGGUGCUGGUGCUGCCACAGCUGCAGCAAGGGCACGCAGAGGAAGGAGGCAAACUGCUGACCGCCACCUUGAAUUUUUUGAGAAGCGGCUCGCCUUAGAGGCCGAAAUGCGUGAGAGGCAGCCCUCGAGGAAAGACGCCUAAGUGUUGGAAAAAAGGCGCCCCUGGCCAUUCAAGAGCUGGAGCUGCAGCUGCAAAUAACUGUAGAAUGCAAAUAACUUUCAAGAAACUGUGGAUUAAAAUGAAAAAAAUGUUGUUUUGAAAAGUGUUGAAAGCUGAUGUCAUGCUGUUUCCUUUUAGUUCGAAGCAUAUAAAUGAAAUGACAUUUUAAAGACGCUAAUUGCUGUGCUCGAAGAGAACAGU